rnacentral:rRNA from 1 species
UACAGAGGGUGCUAGCGUUGUUCGGAAUCAUUGGGCGUAAAGGGCGUGUAGGCGGUUUGUUAAGUCAUGUGUGAAAUCCCUCGGCUUAACCGGGGAACUGCGUCUGAUACUGGAUGGCUUGAGUUUGGGAGAGGGAUGCGGAAUUCCAGGUGUAGCGGUGAAAUGCGUAGAUAUCUGGAGGAACACCGGUGGCGAAGGCGGCAUCCUGGACCAACACUGACGCUGAGGCGCGAAAGCGUGGGGAGCAAACAGG